UACGAAGGGGGCUAGCGUUGCUCGGAAUGACUGGGCGUAAAGGGCGCGUAGGCGGUUUGGACAGUCAGGUGUGAAAUUCCUGGGCUUAACCUGGGGGCUGCGGUUGAUACAUCCAGACUUGAGUGGGGAAGAGGGUCGUGGAAUUCCCAGUGUAGAGGUGAAAUUCGUAGAUAUUGGGAAGAACACCGGUGGCGAAGGCGGCGACCUGGUCCUUUACUGACGCUGAGGCGCGAAAGCGUGGGGAGCAAACAGG
rnacentral:rRNA from 1 species